rnacentral:rRNA from 1 species
AUUGAACGCUGGCGGCAGGCCUAACACAUGCAAGUCGAGCGGUAACACAGAGAGCUUGCUCUCGGGUGACGAGCGGCGGACGGGUGAGUAAUGUCUGGGAAACUGCCUGAUGGAGGGGGAUAACUACUGGAAACGGUAGCUAAUACCGCAUAACGUCGCAAGACCAAAGUGGGGGACCUUCGGGCCUCAUGCCAUCAGAUGUGCCCAGAUGGGAUUAGCUAGUAGGUGGGGUAAUGGCUCACCUAGGCGACGAUCCCUAGCUGGUCUGAGAGGACGACCAGCCACACUGGAACUGAGACACGGUCCAGACUCCUACGGGAGGCAGCAGUGGGGAAUAUUGCACAAUGGGCGCAAGCCUGAUGCAGCCAUGCCGCGUGUAUGAAGAAGGCCUUCGGGUUGUAAAGUACUUUCAGCGAGGAGGAAGGCGUUAAGGUUAAUAACCUUGGCGAUUGACGUUACUCGCAGAAGAAGCACCGGCUAACUCCGUGCCAGCAGCCGCGGUAACAC